rnacentral:rRNA from 1 species
AGUGAACGCUGGCGGUAGGCCUAACACAUGCAAGUCGAACGGCAGCACAGUAAGAGCUUGCUCUUACGGGUGGCGAGUGGCGGACGGGUGAGGUAUACAUCGGAAUCUACUUUUUCGUGGGGGAUAACGUAGGGAAACUUACGCUAAUACCGCAUACGACCUACGGGUGAAAGCAGGGGAUCUUCGGACCUUGCGCGAUUGAAUGAGCCGAUGUCGGAUUAGCUAGUUGGCGGGUUAAAGGCCCACCAAGGCGACGAUCCGUAGCUGGUCUGAGAGGAUGAUCAGCCACACUGGAACUGAGACACGGUCCAGACUCCUGCGGGAGGCAGCAGUGGGGAAUAUUGGACAAUGGGCGCAAGCCUGAUCCAGCCAUACCGCGUGGGUGAAGAAGGCCUUCGGGUUGUAAAGCCCUUUUGUUGGGAAAGAAAAGCAGCAGGUUAAUACCCCGCUGUUCUGACGGUACCCAAAGAAUAAGCACCGGCUAACUUCGUG